CUCCUUUCUAAGGAUGAUCCUUCAGCGAGCUUCGGCUCACUAUCGGAUCGUUUUAGAAACAUCAGUGGCCAACAGUCGUCAGGAUUGUUGAGCUGCAUUGGCGGGAUUUCGCCGUCUUCGUUUCUCUUUCUUCGCGGACGAACACGCGCCGGGGCUGCGUUGUGCGAUUGCAUUUGGCGCUAGUCGCCGGUUGCUGCACGCCAAGACCCUAGUCCUUGAUAGGAUAGCGUUAGGGGCUUGUAGCUCAGUUGGUUAGAGCGCGCGCUUGAUAAGCGUGAGGUCGGAAGUUCAAGUCUUCCCAGGNCCCACCACUUUCAUCGAGUGAGCAUUCGUCUUCUGGUUACGGGGCCAUAGCUCAGCUGGGAGAGCGCGUGCUUUGCAAGCAUGAGGUCGUCGGNUUCGAUCCCGUCUGGCUCCANCCAGAUGGUUUGAUCAUCGACUGAUCGUGCACCUAAAUCGUCCGCGAAACAUCACUUCGCACUUGCUAGUCCGGAUGGACAGCAGGCUGCGUGAUUUUCUGACAUCGUAAAGAGGAGAUCGAUCCGAGUUGGAUCGUGCAGAAGAUUUCUGCGCGAUACUUCAUUAUCUCCGGAUCAUUUCGGCGCUCACGCGUCCUUCAAGGUCAAACUUGAAAGACGGGCGAGUUGUAAAUGAUCCUUUUAGCGAAGCUUGACCGCCUCGCUAUCGGAACGAUCUUACGAAGCAAGCUGGUCUUUCUAAUCAUUGUCCGGCUGCAGAUAGCGUUCAUCGAGGGCGCGUGCCGCAAGGCAGUUCUGCAGACAACAUUCUGCCGAGUGUGUGGACAUUGAUAAUGAGAGCAAUCAAGUGCCUUAAGGGUGUUCGGUGGAUGCCUUGGCGC
rnacentral:tRNA from 1 species